GAUGAACGCUGGCGGCGUGCCUAAUACAUGCCAGUCGAGCGAACAGACGAGGAGCUUGCUCCUCUGACGUUAGCGGCGGACGGGUGAGUAACACGUGGAUAACCUACCUAUAAGACUGGGAUAACUUCGGGAAACCGGAGCUAAUACCGGAUAAUAUAUUGAACCGCAUGGUUCAAUAGUGAAAGACGGUUUUGCUGUCACUUAUAGAUGGAUCCGCGCCGCAUUAGCUAGUUGGUAAGGUAACGGCUUACCAAGGCAACGAUGCGUAGCCGACCUGAGAGGGUGAUCGGCCACACUGGAACUGAGACACGGUCCAGACUCCUACGGGAGGCAGCAGUAGGGAAUCUUCCGCAAUGGGCGAAAGCCUGACGGAGCAACGCCGCGUGAGUGAUGAAGGUCUUCGGAUCGUAAAACUCUGUUAUGAGGGAAGAACAAAUGUGUAAGUAACUAUGCACGUCUUGACGGUACCUAAUCAGAAAGCCACGGCUAACUACGUG
rnacentral:rRNA from 1 species